CAAUAGCGUAUAUUAAAGUUGUUGCAGUUAAAAAGCUCGUAGUUGGAUUUCUGAUCGAGACAUCAGGUCGGGUCCGAGAGGAUCAUGUACUUUGAUUUUGUUUUGAUCAUUCUUGGGGAGAGCAUUUCUGGCAUUCAGUUGUCGGGAUUGGGAUCCUCAUCGUUUACUGUGAAAAAAUUAGAGUGUUCAAAGCAGGCCUCGGCCUCUGAAUACAUUAGCAUGGAAUAAUAAGAUAGGACUUUGGUGGUCUAUUUUGUUGGUUUGCACGCCAAAGUAAUGAUUAAUAGGGAUAGUUGGGGGUAUUCGUAUUCAAUUGUCAGAGGUGAAAUUCUUGGAUUUAUGGAAGACGAACUACUGCGAAAGCAUUUGCCAAGGAUGUUUUCAUUGA
rnacentral:rRNA from 1 species